GAAGGCCAAUGGCUUCUGGUAUCAUUAAAGACUCUGUUUUUACCUCCUCUGGGCCUCAGGAGACCAGCCUGGCACCAGAGGAGGGGCUGGCAGAGCCCCAAGCCGAUCCAGGCUCCAGUCCACACCCACCGGCCCCAGGUCUGGCCACAGGCUGGGCCCUGGUGUGCAGACAGCAGUGGCCACUGCUCCAGGGCCUUUGCACAAGGUGGCUGCAGGUCCAGGUGCUCAUGGGGAGAGGGUCCACAGCAGCCUCUUGUUUUCCUUCCCUUCUUGGGAGACAGCUGCUCCUCCUGGCUGUUUCCAGGAAGUGUGUUUGUUAUUUGGCUCCUGGAAACACCAUGUGAUGAAACAGGCUCUGUUGGGCUGGCCUGCCAGGCGGAGGCUGUGGGCGCCCAGGAGUCCCACCACGAAGCAGGCGGCAGAGGCCCGACGGCCCCACCCUGCAGGCCAGGACCUGGCACCUAAACGGGGAGAUGGAAGAACAUGGAAAAUUCCCUAAGAGCAAAUUGAUGCUCAGCUUCCGCGGGCACCAACUUGCUGCAGAAUCCUGCCUUGCAGAUCUUCGUUCCUCGAGCAUUCGGACGCCUCGGGCCCCAGAAGUUCCAGAACAAGAAAGCUCUGUUUCAUGCGGACACGCUCACACACGCACACAUGCUCACACAAGCACUUAUACGUGCACACACACGCACUCACGACACACACACGCUCACGUGCACACACACACACACUCGCGUGCUCACACACGACACACAUACACGCAUGCUCACACGUGCACAGGCACACUCACACAUCCAUGGCCACGUAGCCCCAGUCUCAGCAUCAUGUCCUCUAUUUAGAAAUAUUGGCUAAAUACCUAAUAAAUAACUAAACAGAAAUGUAAUCUUUAAUAAAGUCUCACAAACCAAGA
rnacentral:lncRNA from 1 species